rnacentral:rRNA from 1 species
UACGGAGGGUGCAAGCGUUGUCCGGAUUUAUUGGGUUUAAAGGGGGCGUAGGCGGCCCGUUAAGUCAGUGGUGAAAGCCUCCAGCUCAACUGGAGAACUGCCAUUGAUACUGACGGGCUUGAGUACAGACGAGGUUGGCGGAAUUGAAUGUGUAGCGGUGAAAUGCAUAGAUACAAUCAAGAACUCCGAUUGCGUAGGCCGCUAACUAGGCUGUAACUUACGCUGAGGCACGAAAGCGUGGGGAGCGAACAGG